GCAGGAUAGCUCAGUCGGGAAGAGCACAAAGCUCUUGAUCUCAGGGUUGUGGAUUCGAGUCCCACGUGGGGCA